GUUGUUCCGUCAGUUGCUGGAUAUGAGCCGUGGCACAGGACGUCUGCAAUCAAUUGAGCCGUGGCACAGGAUGGUGCAUCGGGACGUGCGGCGACAUGUAGUUUCUCCGACGACCGCAGAUGGAAUCGAACGGAUUGGAGUUCUUACUCGAUCCGGUAGAUAGGUUUACUCUGAGAUCUAAGGGAGGAGUUCGCCGACAGCUUGCAGCAGCCGGAUCCUGAGCUCCUGGCGCUGCUCCCACGGGGUGCAGCCGAAUCCUCGGCUGGAGGCUGGAGCUGAAUUUUGUGGCGCCACCGGGUGUGCGCUCAGUGCAGGACUUCAGACGGAAAGCGGAUAAGAAGUGCGGCGAAGGAAGAAUGCAUCGUUGACGCAGUCGGUUCAGUCCACGGGGAAGGUGAAGCCGGAAGGACCGGGCUGGACGAAGAGGUAACUUGGUUGCUGCUCGUAUCUCUGAACCACGGAUUCUGUAGAGUGUGUGCUGACUGCUGAGUAGAAUUGCACUCUGGUGCAACGUGUUCCAGCAAAGGAGUAUAUUGUCAUGCUUGGGGUGCAGCAAAAUAAAUAUACCAUAUUUCGUGGUUUGCUUACUCCUGAUUUAGGCUUGGUUUGUUAACUGUAGAAAUGGUUUCAGGCUUUGCCUUGGUAGUGCACCUCCAGACAGAAUUCCCUGAGCUUCCCGAAUGAACGCUCAUGAGCAAUCGAUCAGGAAAUAUGCAGAGGAACCAUCAGACUGUAAUUAGGCCGGAACUGGGAAUUAGUUCCAACUCGCUGUGUGAGACAUGUGACUUCUACAACAUGUAUUCUUCAGAGAUAGGGUUUGAUAUACGUUAUGGGAGGAGCAGACUAAACCCAGAGAUGACUAAAUCCAUGCAGGAGAUUGUUUGCGGGUGUUCGGCGAGUCUUGCGUACUUUGUUGCUAAAUUAUGUCACUAUUUGUAAGUGCAUCCUAGAGUAUGGAUCUAGUGGUGUUCCAAUUUGUUUAUGCAAGGGAAGCUAGAGGCACAGAACAGGCUGUCUUGCAGAUCAGACUGUUCCUCUGUUGUUCCAAUUUGUUCGUACUUUUGUUGCUGAAUUUGUUUAUACUGGACCAAUCUGUAGGACAUGCUGUCCGACCUUUUUUGUAGGAGUGAACAAUCAUUUUCAGAGCAUUAUAUUGGUUGGAUUUUUUAUGAGGGUUGAGCAAGUCGAGAGUCUUGAGUGGGUAUUUUCUGAGUUCCUAAAUACGAUGGGCAGGUUGGUGCCGAAGUCCAUCGUCACAGAUCAAAACAGAGUCAUGGAGGUAGCUAUCAGCAAAGUAUAUCCAGGGAAAUGAACAACUGUAGCUCACCUUACUGGGCUCAUUCAAGCGCAACAAGAAGAAAUGGUAGCAUUAGAAGGUUGCAGAGUGUCAAGAUGAGGAAACGAGCAGAAAGGGCCAAGCAAGAGAAGAUUUCAAGGCUAUUUUGUCAUCAAUCCUUUUUCCAACUAUGUUUGCAAUAUUCACAAGUAACUUCUCCUUCGACAAACACGAGAAUCAUUUCUUGAUCAUGUUGUUUACUUUGGGGGGACUGCUCAUUCUGCUUGCUAUGGCAUCGUGGCAUCGGAGUCGAGGAUGGACUAGGAAGGAUAGCUAUGGUGUCUCAGCUUACACUGGGGUGGUUAUCUAUGUGGAGAAAAUUCCUUAUUUGACACCACCUUAAAAUGUGGUUCCUUAUUUGACCCUGAAGAAACUUUUCUUCCCUAUUUGACAUGUAGUCUAAAUUUCUUUCCUUACGUGACAUCGCCGUCGGUUUCGUUACACUGUUCCGUCAAAAAAAAUUAGAUGGACCAAAAU